ACGUAUCCACGUAUAAACCAUUGUGAACAGUGCCUACCUUGGAGAUGCAAUGAGUCAGUGUGUUGUAGAUAUUCAAGCAGUUUUUUGUAAUUAAACUGUGUCUACGGCGCCAUGGUUGAGUGUUUUCAGACUCUCUCUCAUACUUGUUCAUUUUUCCCAAGUGUAUUUAAUUACUACCUAUUAACCAUUUCAACCAAUCUUUAUAACAUUCUGAACUAACUUAUUUUAUACUCUUCGGAGAUAAAAUUCAUUACGAAACAAAGAACAACUCUUAGCAACGGAUAUCUUGGUUCU
rnacentral:misc_RNA from 1 species